rnacentral:rRNA from 1 species
UACAGAGGGGGCAAGCGUUGUUCGGAAUUACUGGGCGUAAAGGGCGCGUAGGUGGCCUUCUAAGUUGAACGUGAAAUCCCUGGGCUCAACCCAGGAACUGCGUCCAAGACUGGGAGGCUUGAAUCCGGGAGAGGGAUGCGGAAUUCCAGGUGUAGCGGUGAAAUGCGUAGAUAUCGAGAGGAACACCUGCGGCGAAGGCGGGUUGCUGGGCUGACACUGACGCUGAGGCGCGAAAGCUAGGGGAGCGAACGGG